rnacentral:misc_RNA from 1 species
AUUCAUUUAGGACUUGAAAUUGACAUCAUUUUUGGGAUGUCAGACCUCUAAAUAAGAACACACCUAAGCCACCAACUGCUAAAGUUACAAUGAGAGGCAAGGUAAUGGAGUCAACAUCUACAGCUCUGUUUAUCCUAUCUGUUCUCUCUUGGCGAGCCCAGUACUCAUGAAGCAGAUUGCUCAGAUUGUCUAACUGGUGCAUGAUCUGGCGUUGUCCUCUUCCAAUUUGUAGAAUCUCUUCCAUCAGUGGUGACUCCCUAGCUAAUUGUGAUGAGGAUGAGGAAGUUGGUAGCAGUGAUCCAGUUAAUGCACCAUUACCCAAACCAGCAACAAAAACAGAAGUGGGUCCAGAGCCAUUGCAGGCUUCUGCCUGCAUUGGCAAGUUUUGUUGGCUAGCUGAAACUUUCCUGAUAGUGAACUUGGAAUUCAGCUCCUCAAUCCGAGAUGUGAACUCAUCCAUCCUCUCAUUCAGUGUGGCAAUCUGUUCAGAGAGUUGAGUAAUAACACCCUGGUUUGCAAGUGUGGCUGGUGACUCUGGAGUUCUUCCGUC